GGAUCUUCUGUGAAGAAAGUGACUUUGUUAAUAAAUAUCAAAAAUAUUUAUUCGUUGCACACAAACGAUGAUUAUUGAGAAUCUUGAGCCACUAAUACUUUAGUGUUGAUGUGUCGCAACCGUGAUGUUAAAUAGUAGCUCAUACAUAUUAUAAAGAGAUCGGAAAAAAUCACGAUAAAAGUUGCUUGAAAAUGGAUCAACUGAAAAAAAUCUUAAGUUUAUUUUUUUAAUUCAGAAUUACUUUAUAUGAACAGAAAAUGUUAUGUUCCCACCUGCACCAUUACUCCAAGCAGUGGAGAAAAAGCUCACUUGCUUUUACAAAAGCAAACAAUAAUGAAAGGACGUACUCAACUAAAAUAUAAAUAAUAAAGUAUAAUAACUAUUUAACAAAGAUUUAUAAAGUGAUAAAUAGGUGAAUGGAAACUCGACCUUUCUGGUGUAAAAAAUCAUAACGAGCUAAGAUGGUGGAUCGUUAUCCUCCUAGCGAGCAAUUAAUAUUUUGCUAAUAAAAAAUAUUUUUUCAAAGUAAUACAUGUUGUAAGAUAGCUUGAAUCUUUAAUCCUAUAGUUUUUAUCAUAAAACAGUUUUUUU